rnacentral:rRNA from 1 species
UACGGAGGAUGCAAGCGUUAUCCGGAAUGAUUGGGCGUAAAGCGUUCGCAGGUGGCACAGUAAGUCUGCUGUUAAAAGUCGGGGCUCAACCCCGAACCGGCGGUGGAAACUACGGAGCUAGAGUGCGGUAGGGGCAGAGGGAAUUCCUGGUGUAGCGGUGAAAUGCGUAGAGCUCAGGAAGAACACCGGUGGCGAAAGCGCUCUGCUGGACCUGCACUGACACUGAGGGACGAAAGCUAGGGGAGCGAAUGGG